CCUACGGGAGGCAGCAGUGGGGAAUAUUGCACAAUGGGGGAAACCCUGAUGCAGCGACGCCGCGUGAGCGAAGAAGUAUUUCGGUAUGUAAAGCUCUAUCAGCAGGGAAGAAAAUGACGGUACCUGACUAAGAAGCUCCGGCUAAAUACGUGCCAGCAGCCGCGGUAAU
rnacentral:rRNA from 1 species